UACGAAGGGGGCUAGCGUUGCUCGGAAUCACUGGGCGUAAAGCGCACGUAGGCGGAUUUCUAAGUCAGGGGUGAAAUCCUGGAGCUCAACUCCAGAACUGCCUUUGAUACUGGGAAUCUCGAGUCCGGGAGAGGUGAGUGGAACUGCGAGUGUAGAGGUGAAAUUCGUAGAUAUUCGCAAGAACACCAGUGGCGAAGGCGGCUCACUGGCCCGGUACUGACGCUGAGGUGCGAAAGCCAGGGGAGCAAACGGG
rnacentral:rRNA from 1 species